rnacentral:lncRNA from 1 species
UUUUUUUUUUUUUUUUUUUUUUUUGCUUUUUAGGGCCACACUCACAGCAUAUGGAAGUUCCCAGGCUAGGGGUCAAAUAAGAGCUGCAGCUGCUGGUCUAUACCACAGGAACUCAGGAAUCUGAGCUGUGUCUGUGACCUACACCACAGCUCACAGCAAAGCCAAAGCCAGUUCCCAACCCACUGAGUGAGGCUAGGGACCCAACCUGCAUCCUCAUGGAUACUAGUCGGAUUCGUUUCCACUGCACCACAACAGGAACUCCCUGGAUAACAGUUCUUUAUCAAAUAUGUCUUUUACAAACACUUUCUCCUAGUCUGUGGUCUGUCUUUUCAUUCUCUUGACAGUGUCUUUUGCAGAGAAGAAAUUUUUAAUUUUAAAAAAUGUUUAUGGCUGCACCCAUGGCAUAUGAAAGAUCCCAGUGUGGCCCUAAAAAGCAAUUGACUAUAUGUAUGGGUAUGUGUUUCUGAGCUCUCUAUUCUGUCCCAUUGAUCUAUUUGUCUAUUCUUUCUCCGAUACCACACUGUCUUGCUUACUGUAGCUUAAUAGCAAGUCUCAAAGUCAGACAGUGUCAAUCCUUAUUCUUGCCCUUGAAUAAUAUGCUGCCUCUUCCAAGUCUGUUGCCUCUCUGUAUGAACUUUAGAAUCAGUUUGUUGAUAUUCACAAAAUAAUUUCUGGGAAUUUAACUAGGAUUGUAUUGAAUUCAUAGAUCAAGUUGGGAAGAACAGGUAUCUUGAUAAUAAGUAUUAAUUCUUCCUAUUAAUAAGCAUGGAAUAUCUCUCCAUUUUUUAAAUUUUUUUAAUUGAUAUAUUAAUGUGAUAAUUUCAUUUCUUAUAAGUAAAUCACCCAAAGAAGGAAAAAACAUAUAUGCAACAUUGUUUUUAAUAAUUCAUGGGCUGGAGAGAUUUGAGGGAUUAAGAUGGCAGAAUAGAAGGACUGGAGCUCAACUUCUAUCCUAAAAACCACAAAAUUCACAACUAAAGCCUGAGCAGUCUUCAACCAAAUGGACCGGAAACCUUAAAAAAGAUAUCCUACUCCAGAAGAAAAAGAGGAGGCCACAUCAAGAGGUCGGAGGGGAGAUUAUGAGAUAUAAGCAACCCCAUACUUCCCAGAUGGGAAGCCCCACAGACUGGAAACUAACUGGUUCACAGAGACUCACCUAUAGGAGUGAGAGUUCUGAGGCCCACAUCAAACUCCCAUGUGUGGGGAUCUGGCACUGGGAGAAAGAGCCCCUGGAGCAUCUGGCAUUGAAGGCCAGUGGGGUUUGUGUGUCCAUGGGACUGGGGGAAAUGGAGACCCCAUUCUUAAAAGGUACACACAGAAUUUCACAUGCACUGGGUCCCAGGGCAAAGCAAAGGCUCCAUAGGAAUCUGGGUCAAACCUAACUGCAGUUCUUGGAGGACAUCCUGGGAAAACAGGGGUGAAUGUGGCUUGUUGUGAGGGAGGGACAUUGAAGGCAAAGCUCUCGGGAAUAUUCAGCAGCUGCCUUUCUCUGGAGGUGGCCAUUUUGGGAAAAUCUGUCCCCACCCAUCAGUCAGUGCUGAGAAGCCCCAGGGCAAACAACAAUCCAGGUGGGAUCACAGCCCCACCCCUCAGUAAACAGGCUGCCUAAAGACCCCUCAGGCACACAGCUGCCUCUAAUCCCAUCCAGAGACUAAGCCCCACCCAACAGAGGCAUUAGAAUCAGCUCCACCUACCAGUGGGCAGGCAUCAGCCCCUCCCAUCAGGAAGCCUACAGCAAGCCCCCAUACCAACUUCAGCCACAAGGGAGGCAGACACCAGAAGUAAGAGAGGCUACAACCUUAUUAUCUGUAAAAAGGUCACCACAGCAAAAACCUAUAAAAAUGAAAAGGCAGAGAACUAUAACUUAGAUGAGGGAGAAAGGGAAAACCCCAAAAAAACAGCUAAGUGAUGAGAUUCUCAGCCUCCGGGAAAAAGACUUUAGACUGUCGAUGCUGAAGAUGAUGCAAGACAUUGGAAAUAAACUGGAGGCAAAGAUGGAUAACUUACAGGAAACACUGAGCAAAGAGAUCCAAGAUACAAAACUUAAGAAGAGAUGCAAAAUACAGUAACUGAAAUAAAAAAUUCACUAGAAGCAGCUAACAGCAGAAUACAGGAGGCAGAAGAACGAAUAAGUGAGGUGGAGGACAGAUUAGUAGAAAUUAUGGAUGCAGAACAGAAAAGUGAAAAAAGGUUGAAAACAAAUGAAGAGAGUCUCAGAGAACUCUGGAACAAAGUUAAAUGCACCAACAUCCGUAUUAUAGGGGUGCCAGAAGGAGAAGAGAGAGAGAAGGGGACAGAAAAAAUAUUCCAAGAGAUAAUAACUGAAAACUUCCCUAACAUGGGAAGGAGCCACUCACUCAAAUCCAGGAAGCUCAAUGAGUACCAUAUAAAAUAAACCCAGGAGUUCCCGUCGUGGCACAGUGGUUAACGAAUCCGACUAGGGACCAUGAGGUUUCGGGUUCGGUCCCUGCCCUUGCUCAGUGGGUUAACGAUCCGGCGUUGCCGUGAGCUGUGGUGUAGGUUGCAGACGCGGCUCGGACCCCGCGUUGCUGUGGCUCUGGUGUAGGCCAGUGGCUACAGCUCCGAUUGGACCCCUAGCCUGGGAACCUCCAUAUGCCGCAGGAGCGGCCCAAGAAAUAGCAACAACAACAACAACAAAAAUAAAUAAAUAAAUAAAAUAAAAUAAAAUAAACCCAAGGAGGAACACCCUGAGACACAUAUUAAUCAAACUGACCAAAAUUAAAGACAAAGAGAAAAUCUUGAAAGCAGCUAGAAAAAGAAACAAAUAACAUACAAUGGAACCCCGACAAGGUUAUCGGCAGAUUUUUUCAGCAGAAACUCUGCAGGCCAGAAGGGAGUGGCAUGAUAUACUUAAUGUGAUGAAAGGAAAAAAACUCCAACCAAGAUUACUUUACCCAGCAAGGCUCUCAUUCAGAUUUGAAGGAGAAAUCAAAAGCUUCACAGAUAAGCAAAAGCAAAGAGAAUUUGGCAACUAAACCAGCCUUACAACAAAUACUAAAGGAACUUCUCUAGGCAGAAAAGAAAAGGCAGCAACCAGAAAAAAUAUAACACAAAUAAAAAGGCUCACCAGUAAAGGUAUGUAUACAGUAAAGAUACAAUAUCAUCCAUGCACAAUUAUGCCACCAAAAUCAGAAAUCAUGAGAAGAGGUGGGUACAAAUGCAGGACAUUUGAGAUGAAGUUGCAAUUAAGAGAACAACAACUUAAAACAAUCUCAUAUACAUAUAGACUCAUAUCAAAACUUUAGAAUAACUGCAAACCAAAAAUCUACAUUAUACACAAACAAAUAAGAAAAAUCAACUCAAAUACAACACUAUAGAUAGUCAUCAAACCAGAAGAGGAGAGAACAAGAAAGAAGGGAAGAAAAAAGAGCAACAAAAACAAAUCCAAAGCAAUUAAUACAAUGGCAAUAAAAACAUACAUAACAAUAAUUACCUUAAAUAAUUCAUGGGCUGGGAGUUCCUGUCAUGGCUCAGUGGUUAACGAAUCCAACUAGGAACCAUAAGGUUGUGGGUUCAAUCCCUGGCCUCGCUCAGUGGGUUAAGGAUCUAGCAUUACCCUGGGCUGUGGUGUAGGUCGCAGAUGCAGCUCAGAUCCCACAUUGCUGUGGCUCUGGUGUAAGCCAUGGCUACAACUCUGAUUAGACCCUGAGCCUGGGAAUCUCCAUAUGCCACAAGUGCACCCCUAGAAAAGACCAAAAUAAUAAUAAUAUCAAUAAUAAUAAUAAUAACAAUAACAAUAGUAGUGAUAAUUCAUGGGCUGCAAGAUAGGUCGUAAAUUUUAAAAUGAAUAAAAAAUUUUCCUAGGAAAUGUUUAAAAUGUAGAUUUUUUUUUAAAAAAAUGUGUUAUAUCCUCAGAAAACUAAAAAUAGAACUACCAUUUGAUCCAGCAAUCCCACUCUUGCACAUCUAUCCAGAGAAAACCAUGACUCGCAAAGACACAGGUACUCCAAUGUUCAUUGCAGCACUAUUUACAAUAGCCAAGACAUGGAAACAACCUAAAUGCCCAUCAACAGAGGAGUGGAUCAAGAAGAUGAGGUACAUAUGCACAAUGGAAUAUUACUCAGCCAUUAAAAGGAACAAAAUACUGGCAUUUUUAGCAACAUGGAUGGACCUAGAAAUUAUCAUGCUAAGUGAAGUCUGACUGAGACACCAACAUCAAAUGCUAUCACUGACAUGUGGAAUCUGAAAAAGGACAGAAUGAACUUCUUUGCAGAAUAGAUACUGACUCACAGACUUUGAAACACUUGUGGUUCCAAAGGAGACAGUUUGGGGGAUGGAAAUCCUAUAAAACUGGAUUGUGAUGAUCAUCGUACAACUAUAAAUGUAAUAAAUUCAUUGAGUAAUAAAAAAUGUAUUAGAGUUGAUUUACAGUGUUGUGCCAAUUUCUUUUCUACAGCAUAGUGACGCAGUUGUGUGUAUAUACACAUGUAAUUUUUCUCAUACUACCUUCCAUCACCUCCUGUCCCAAGAGAUUAGCUAUAGUUCCCUUUGCUGUAUAAAAGGAACUCAUUGCUUACCCAUCCUAAAUGUAAAAUAUAGAUUCUAUUGGUGGCUUUAAAGUCCAUUUACAUGACCACCAAUUAGAUUGGACAGCUUCUCAUUUGUCUAUUGGUUAUUUUAUUUCCUUUUCUUGUGAAGUGCCUGUUUAUGUGGGCAUUUUUCUUAUUUUUUUUCUAUGAGUUCUCAGUUCUUAUUGAUUUAUAGGAAUUUUUAAUAUACUCAAGAUGCUAGAUUUCUUGGUAAUAUAUGUUGCAACUAUUUUUUUUUCUAUUUUGGUUUCCUUGUUGUUUGUUUGUUUGUUUUGCCUUUUCACUGUAUGAUAUCUUCUGGUUAACAGAAUUCUUAAUUUUAUUAACGUUCAAUUUAUCAACCUUUUCCUUCUUGAUUAAGAAGUUCUUCAUUAUUUUGGGGUCAUUGAUAUUGUCCUGUAUUCUCAUGUGUUAUAAUUUUGCCUUUUACAAGUAGGUCUCUUCUUCAGCUAGACCUGAUUUUUGUGUGUGAUAUGAGGUGAGAACGCACUUUUACUUUUUUCCAUGUGGACCUACUUGUCCCUGCAGGACCAUUUGAAAAGUCCGUUUUCCUCCACUGAGAAGCAUGGUGGUAACAUAUAAAUUUUCUGUAUGAGCAUAUCUGUUUCUGUGGGUCUUUACUUUAGCACAGCAUGGGUCACAAAAUGAGAGAUCAUUAAAUAUUUGUUGAGGAGCUCCCAUCAUGGCUCAGCGGAAAUGAAUCUGACUACCAUCCAUGAGGACACAGGUUUAUCCCUGGCCUCGCUCAGUGGGCUUAGGAUCCGGCCUUGCUCUGAGCUGCAGUAUAGGCGCAGAUGCAGCUUAGAUCUUGCAUUGCUAUGGUUGUGGUAUAGGCUGGCAGCUACAGCUCCAAUUUGACCCCUAGCCUGGGAACCUCCAUAUGCCAUGGGUAUAGCCCUAAAAAGGCCAAAAAAAAAAAAAAAAAAAAAAGUUGAAUAAAUAAACAAAUGUUCUUUAUAAUUAUGUGGUCAAAUAUUCUGUUCCGCUGUGAAUUUUCUAUUUGCAGGCUCCAAAGUUAAGAAAGUCAUUCCUAUCAUUCAUGCAUUAAAUGUAAGAUAUAGUCUAAAGUAAGAAAAAGUAAUCAGUAUUUACAAAAUAUAUAAUAGUUGCAAAUAUAGGUGACAUUAAUACAGACAUUAGGAGUUCCCAUUGUGGCUCAGUGGUUAAUGAAUCCGACUAGGAACCAUGAGGUUAUGGGUUCGAUCCCUGGCCUCGCUCAAUGGGUUAAGGAUCUGGCGUUGCCAUGAGCUGUGGUAUAGGUCACAGACACGGCUCGGAUCCCUCAUUGCUGUGGUUGUGGUGAGGGCCAGCGGCUACAGCUGCAAUUGGACCCCUAGCCUGGGAACCUCCAUAUGCCGAUAGUGCAGCCCUAAAAGGACCAAAGACGACAAAAAAAAAAAAAAAAUAAUACAGACAUUAACUUUCUUUAGCCAACCUGACCAUGCGCCAGGCCUCUAAAGACAUUCUCUGGUUAAAGACCUCAUGGCAGGUGAUUAACAUCUUGAUUUAUGUCUUCCUGCUCUUAAAAUCAGUUAAUCACAUUGAGAGAUGGAUCUGAACACCGCCGAGAGCAUUCUAUCAAUUUACUUAUUGAGGACUUUUUUCCAAGCGCCUCUAAGGACCUAAACCUUGGAAACUCCAAACCAGUUUUAGGGCCUAACUUGGCAAAGGAAUUCAGAGGCUUCCCCCAGCUUCCCCUCAAUUCCCACAAUCACUUUCACCUUCCCACCUACCGUGACUGAGGAGCAAGGGGGACAAUCAAUGUCCAUCUUAGUGAUGGGGACUGGAACUCACAGCCUGAGCUCCCUCACUCCCAAAAGUCCGGGGAGCACGUCCCCCCACUUGGUGAGGUGUCCUGUUUACACCAGUGACCUUCCCUGUG